rnacentral:lncRNA from 1 species
CAACGGUGUGGCUGGAACCCUUAGGGAUUUUCCGCUGAGGAAUAGGGCAGCUGUGAGGAUGGCUUCUACUGGAAUUAAUGCCCAAGUUCUCCAUCAAAGGAUCAGAAACAAGCUUUGAGAAAAAGAAGAAACAGGCUCUGUUUGUUCCAGAGAAUGCCUGGUCCAGAAUUCUCAGUCUCUCCUCCGGCUGGCAUCUGUUCAAAUCUCUGGGCACUGCAUGCAAAGGAGAAGCCAGGGAUUAUGAAGGCCCAUCGCAGGCUGGAGCUUCAUGCAUGAGCCCAGGGCUCCACGUCUCCCUGAAAAAGACUUAGCUCAUCCUUUUCUCCCUGUUACCUUUUCACGGGAAAAAUAAGUAAACCACCAGGGUGGUGGGCGGCAGGCCUGCCUGUCACUGUUGAUCACAAGAGAUU